GGGGUCGAUUUGGUUUCGACUCUGUACACCGAGCCAGGGGAAGCGUGCCGGUGCAGGCUGGAGACCACCGUAAGCGUCGCAGCAACUCAUAGGCGCCGAGAAGAACACUCAGCGCGACUACGCUCUCGCUGCCUAAUCAGCGAAGCGUGUCUGUCAGCCCGGGUUCGUCCCUGACCCGGUUCCUGGCAUCAGCUAAGGGACUCGACGCUGCCACCCCGUCGUCCGGGUGAGCAGCGGACAUCUCAGGGCGACUGGGCUCAUCAUCCGGGCACGUCCGCCUGACCCGGAGAGCCGAGCAGAGAUCACCGUGGACUGCGCACGGAGAAGCCCUGGCGAGGUUGCAGAGGACCCGGGUUCAAUUCCCGGCGGCUCCACAG
rnacentral:tmRNA from 1 species